rnacentral:rRNA from 1 species
UACGUAGGCAGCAAGCGUUGUUCGGAAUUACUGGGCGUAAAGAGUGUGUAGGCGGUGUUCUAAGUUUGUCGUGAAAUCUCCCGGCUUAACUGGGAGGGUGCGGCGAAAACUGGAAUGCUAGAGGGUGGGAGAGGUAAGCGGAAUUCCUGGUGUAGCGGUGAAAUGCGUAGAUAUCAGGAGGAACACCUGUGGUGUAGACAGCUUACUGGACCAUUUCUGACGCUGAGACACGAAAGCGUGGGUAGCAAACAGG